CCGCAUAAGCGCACGGUACCGCAUGGUACAGUGUGAAAAACUCCGGUGGUGUGAGAUGGAUCCGCGUCUGAUUAGGUAGUUGGUGAGGUAACGGCCCACCAAGCCGACGAUCAGUAGCCGACCUGAGAGGGUGACCGGCCACAUUGGGACUGAGACACGGCCCAAACUCCUACGGGAGGCAGCAGUGGGGAAUAUUGCACAAUGGGCGAAAGCCUGAUGCAGCAACGCCGCGUGAGUGAAGAAGUAUCUCGGUAUGUAAAGCUCUAUCAGCAGGGAAGAAAAUGACGGUACCUGACUAAGAAGCCCCGGCUAACUACGUGCCAGCAGCCGCGGUAAUACGUAGGGGGCAAGCGUUAUCCGGAUUUACUGGGUGUAAAGGGAGCGCAGACGGCACUGCAAGUCUGAAGUGAAAGCCCGGGGCUCAACCCCGGGACUGCUUUGGAAACUGUAGAGCUAGAGUGCUGGAGAGGCAAGCGGAAUUCCUAGUGUAGCGGUGAAAUGCGUAGAUAUUAGGAAGAACACCAGUGGCGAAGGCGGCUUGCUGGACAGUAACUGACGUUCAGGCUCGAAAGCGUGGGGAGCAAACAGGAUUAGAUACCCUGGUAGUCCACGCCGU
rnacentral:rRNA from 1 species